rnacentral:rRNA from 1 species
GAAAGGAAAGAGACAUCGACUCCCCCAGUAGAGGCGAUCGAAAAGGGAAGAGCCCAAACCUUGCAUGUGUAAGCCCGCGAGCGUUGCAUGCAGGGGGUUGUGAGAGCCGGAGGUGGCCGCGGACCACCACAGAGUUACCAAACUGCGAGCUAGUCGAGCUGGCUGGAAAGCCAGGCCAAAGAGGGUGAUAGCCCCGUAGGCGAAA